rnacentral:misc_RNA from 1 species
UGUGUUCUCUCUUGGUUUGCUUGCUCAACCAUCUACAAUGUACGAUAUUCAUAGCGAAUUAAGUGUGAAAGGUCGAUCUACCUCUUUUCAUUUCUCUCGAUUUUCGAGAUAACUUUGGAAGCUAAUCGACGACCUCAAUUAACAAUAACUUUCCGUGAAUGGUAUGUGUGACUGUGUGUAUGUAUAUGUGUGUAUAUGUAAGAUUCACUACUAGUGUACCGACUAUAAUUUCAUCGUCGUAUAAUCUUCUCUUGCACGUCCAUCUUAAAACAUCGUCUACGAUAUUUCUUUACUCUUAAUUUCUUAGUCUCGCGAUAAAAUCUACAUUCGUGGUUUCUCACCUCUUCGACGUAGUGCGAACAUUCCCGAGCCUGUUUCGAGAGCCUGGAUUUAUUUUGAACAAAAAAGGAAGAAAAAAACGAAGAAAGAAGAAUACACUCUACUCUUUAUACACAAUUUUUCUUCCUGUUUUCUCGCUAUCGUCGUCGUCGUCGUCUUUCUCGUCCAUUCUUUUGUCCCUGGUUUCUUUUUCUUUUUUUUUUUUUAACAAAAGAUUUAUCAACAAAGAACGCGUCCCGCUCCUUUUAUUCCCCUACUCCCGAAGAAACUUAUCGACCAACGGUCGACUGGUCCGAUCUGGUGAAAGAAAAGAGGAAGGGUCGGGCGAGAUUUUGGAGCUGGAAUUGAAAGGGCGGUUCGGCUCGGCGACCGCGUAGUUGCGAUCGAACGCGAGGAAACAAAGAGAAGAGGAAGGCGCGACAGAGGGCGAAGGGAGAGGAAGGAGCGUGGCCAAAGGGCGAGAGAAAGGACCGCGAUCAGAGUUGGGAAAGAAGAACGUCGGGAGGAACGAAGCUGUGGGCCACCCCAAAGGUUUUCUCUCUCUCUGAUCCCGCGCACUUAGUUGAACGAGCUAAUGGAAAAUCCCGUGCACACGACCGAACCUGAAGCUGGGAGGAUCGAGCACUCUCGCUCCGAUGACUGAUGACGAGCACGACGACAGGCGACGGCCGAUGGGCGACAGGCGACGGGCGACGCGCGGCUACGAUUACCAACCGAGUGCAAUGCACACACCUCGACGAACGCCGACGUACCAACCGACGACGGACCAACGAACGAACCAACGAACUAUCCAGUCACCGAGUACGCGACCAAGAAAGCUCACCUGCUAGAGAGGUGGUUGGCUGAAGGUUCUCGCGGUGACUGCACCCAGGGUUCGGCGGAAAAGGGUGUGAAGCGGAGAGACGGAGAAGGGAUGGAGGAUGGAAGAUCGGCGAGAGAAAGAGGAAGUUGAUGCUGACGAGAGAGGAGAGGGGGCAAGGGACAGACACGGAGGAUGGGGAUAGAGAAAGGGGGAAGGAGAGUAGGACGAAGACAAGCGUGUAGGAUUCGUAAAUCGCGUAGAACGUGGAAUCGGGAAGAAGGGAGGAAGAGGAAUGGAAGAGCGGAUGAUAAAGAUGGUAAGGUAGACACCGAAAGGGAGUCUACCUUACGAUAGCGGGUGUAAACACAAGCGUCGAGGGUUAAUCCGAGAGGAACGGGAGCAGAGCGAGAGAUGGACGG